ensembl:lncRNA
AAUAUUAAAAAGAAAAUUGGAACACAAUCAUCAUGCACCAUUUCUUGUGUGGUUAUAAAAAUAUAGCUGCAGUGACAAACCGGUUUCCAACAUGUACUUCCCAAUCCACUAAAAGCCAAUCAACAACAAAACCUACUUACCUUUCUUACCCACUAACAUAUAUUUUUGCUUCUGUCCCCAUUUACAAUUACCUCUGCGCCAGCUACAGCACCUUGACUAUACAUUUGAAACCCUGGGUGAAUACGACAAAUGGUUCACAACAAAAACAAUCAGUAUUAAAACAUAGCCUACUACCACUGCAUGGUAAGUUUUCAUUUAUCUAUUAGUUACCCAAUAUUUUAAAAUAUCAAUUUUAAACUUGACAUAGUCACUCACUGUAAUGUUAUUAAAAUAUCACAAAUUGGGAAUCAAGGUCCUAUACAUUUUUUGCAUUAAUCUGCCAUUUUGGAAUGCAUUGCUUAGCUUUGAUAUAACUAAUUUAGAUGUAUAUCAUGGACCCACAUAUAAAAUCUCAAGUAAAUCAACCUUACAUUUUAUGAGGUGUUAAUUUUUUAAGGUUUUCACAAAUAUUCAAAAUGGUGAACUUCAUAUGUUCUUGAUGCCCAUACAUUCAAGACACAUUUCAAAUAGCCUAUGGACUGCCAAAUUCCAAAACUUUAUAUCACAGACUUCUUAAGUUAUUAGAUCUUUAACAAGUAAAAUAACAGGUUUGAUUAUGUGAUGGAGUACUAAAGGAAGUUGUUGUGUGAAUAAUCAAAUGGUUUACCUUAUAAUGUAUUAAGAUGCGCCAAAUGUUUUCAAUGGGUGACAGGUCUAGACUGCAGGCAGGCCAGUUUAGCUCCUGGAAUCUUUUACUAUAGAGCCAUGCUGUUGUAAUUCGUGCAGAUUGUUGUUUUGCAUUGUCUUCCUGAAAUAAGCAAGGCCUUUCCUAAGAAAGACAUUGUCUGGAUGGCAGCAUAUGUUGCUCCAAAACCUAUAUAUAUUGUUCAGCAUUAAUGGUGCCAUCACAGAUCAAGUCACCCAUGUGCACUAAUGCACAGCCAUAUCAUCACAGAUGCUAGCUUUUGAAUUGUGCGCUGAUAAAAAGCUGGAUAGUCCCUUUCCUUUUUAGCUUGGAGGACGCAGUGUCCAUGAUUCCCAAGAGGUUUUGAUUUGUCAGACCACAGGACAAUUUUCCACUUUGCCUCAGUCCAUCUUAAAUGAGCUUGGGCCCAGAGAAUGUGGCGACAUUUCUGGAUCUUGUUUAUAUCUGGAUUCUUUGCAUGGUAGAGUUUUAAAUUGCAUUUGUGGACAACAACAACAAACUGUGCUCACAGAGUGUUUACAGACAAGUUUUGGUUUUCAGAAGUGUUCCUGAGCCCAUGCAGUGAUUUCCACUACAGAAUCGUAUCUGUUUUUAAUCCAGUGUCGCCUCACGACUAUCCAAUAUUGGUUUUCAGUCUUGUCCCUUGCGAACAGAUUUCGUCCGAUUCUCUAAAUCUUUUAACGAUUUUAUGUGCCGUAAAUUAUGAGAUCCCCAAACUCUUUGCUGUUUUACCUUGAGAAACAUCUUUUAACACCUAAUCAAGUUACUGACAAGCUACCAAUUAACUUAAUUUGUUUGAGAUGUUCCUCUAUGUUUUUAUUUUGUACUACACAACUUUCCAGUCUUUUGUUGCCCCUGUCCCAGCUUUAAUGGGUAUUGAAUAAUUUUCCAGGAACAAUAAAAACAUUCAGUUUCAACAUUUGAUAUGUUGUCUCUAUUUUCUAUUGAAUAUA